CAGCAGCCACGGUAAUACGUAGGUGGCAAGCGUUGUCCGGAAUUAUUGGGCGUAAAGGGCCCGCAGGCGGUUUCUUAAGUCUGAUGUGAAAGCCCCCGGCUCAACCGGGGAGGGUCAUUGGAAACUGGGAAACUUGAGUGCAGAAGAGGAGAGUGGAAUUCCACGUGUAGCGGUGAAAUGCGUAGAGAUGUGGAGAAACACCAGUGGCGAAGGCGACUCUCUGGUCUGUAACUGACGCUGAGGAGCGAAAGCGUGGGGAGCGAACAGGAUUAGAUACCCGAGUAGUCCCUGUCUCUUAUAC
rnacentral:rRNA from 1 species